UACAUGAUGUAUGAGAGCAGGGACUUUGUAAAUCUAUGCACCAUUGUUUCUGGCAUAGAUUAUAUGCUGAAUUAAUGAUAUGGUAGAUAAAUGAAUUUUAGUGCACGAGAUGGUUGUUUAAACAACUCAAGAGUUGUUUAAACUCUUCCGCAUAGAAAAACAAGUGUCCAGUGUAUAUUUUAAAGAAUAGUGUGUAAUACUUAUAUAUUUCUGUGUAUAUAUGUAUACCAUAAUAACAGUAAUAAUCAUGUUUGAUAUAACUCAUUCAAUGAACAAGUCCUUUGAAAGUUAUGAAGUGCGCUACAUGAGUAAGGUAUUUACCAUGUUAAUAUUAAUACAAUAUAUUCUUAGACUGGCGCCAAAGUUUAUCAGCAAUGUAUCCUGCAGUAAGCUUGCUGCAUUUGGAGAAAACUGGGCUCUAGAAGUGGAUGCAUCUUUGGAAACACUGUGACAAUUAUGUGGAAGUGCAGUUGUCCUGCUGAAUCACUGCCACUAUUUUCUGAGCUUCAAGUUAGGGCUGAGACCCUCAGAAGUCUCAUCAGUCAACGUCUUCCAUGGUCCACAGAUACAUGAGAGGUUUGGAGCACAUAGUCACUGGCUGCAUUUUAAAGCAGCAACUUAAUGGAGCCUGAAAUUUUAAGUUAUCGUGGAUGGAGAUCAGAUGGUCUAUCUGCUUUGUGGGAAUCUGGAGACGGUUGAUGAGAUGAGUUCUUUGGAAGAAUCGUUGCUAUAUAAAUACGAAUCAGAGCAAAUACAAUAAUUCUGCCUCCAAAAUUGCCUUAGGGGUAGAACAGUGUUCAAUAAACAUAGUAUAAUACUGUGA